GCCGGAUUAGCUCAUCGGUAGAGCGCGAAAUUUGUAAUUUCGAUGUGCUGAGUUCGAUUCUCAGAUCCGGCUCCA
rnacentral:tRNA from 1 species